rnacentral:rRNA from 1 species
AGUGAACGCUGGCGGUAGGCCUAACACAUGCAAGUCGAACGGCAGCACAGUAAGAGCUUGCUCUUACGGGUGGCGAGUGGCGGAUGGGUGAGGAAUACAUCGGAAUCUACUUUUUCGUGGGGGAUAACGUAGGGAAACUUACGCUAAUACCGCAUACGACCUACGGGUGAAAGCAGGGGAUCUUCGGACCUUGCGCGAUUGAAUGAGCCGAUGUCGGAUUAGCUAGUUGGCGGGGUAAAGGCCCACCAAGGCGACGAUCCGUAGCUGGUCUGAGAGGAUGAUGAGCGACACUGGAACUGAGACACGGUCCAGACUCCUACGGGAGGCAGCAGUGGGGAAUAUUGGACAAUGGGCGCAAGCCUGAUCCAGCCAUACCGCGUGGGUGAAGAAGGCCUUCGGGUUGUAAAGCCCUUUUGUUGGGAAAGAAAAGCAGCAGGUUAAUACCCCGCUGUUCUGACGGUACCCAAAGAAUAAGCACCGGCUAACUUCGUG